CCCCGCAUUCCCGUUUCGCCCGAUCCAAAUUAAAUUAGGACGCGAUCCCCGGCUGUUUUCCUAAGAAGAGCACAUACCAACCUGCAGUCUCUCGCCAUACCCUCGAGCGCCUCCCCUGACCGCCCCGCCGCCGCUUCGCCCAGCCUCCAGUCACGCUCCUCGCCCCCUUAUCGAGUUAUUGCCCAAGAUGCAUCCGACCUCUGCAGCGCCUCGAGUUGGCUUUGAUGGGAGCUCGGCGUGUGUAGCGUCAUCGUGGAGAAUCCCAGGAGCCCCAUCUUAGAUAUCCUCAACAUCUAAGCGGGGCAGUGGUGCUUAUCCACCUGUCAGCCACAAACUCCGGUAUCCAAGCCAACCCGAUGCGGGAUGAUGAGGCUUGGAUGCGAAAUAUGUCCGGCAUGAGGAAUUCUAGCUCGUGUUGACUCCAAGGUUCAUCUCCGGAAUUCAAGUCUUUGGGCAAACCUCCCUGUGAACUCUUACAUUUUCUUUACAUAGCUGUUCACUGGAAUGACUAGGCAUCAUGGAAAGAGCUACAAGUGGAUCAAGGAGUCGCUGAUAUUAGUUUUAUUCUUGGGAAGAUCAGAUUCAGCAAUGAUUGGUUUGGAAGUUACCAAUUCCAGGUUCUUGGUUUCGUAGCUACAGCGAGAUAGAUUCUUGUUAUACAGGUUUUGUUUUUUUGUUUUCGGGUUGUUCUUUUCUACCACAAGUCUACCGUUGCAUCCUGAAUUAUUUCCGCACUAAUUUCUUAACGAAUUUUCAUUGUUCUGGCUCUGAACUCAUUUUGUUGUGCUAUUUUAUUUUUUUAUGGGGUCAAGGAGAACACUCUAUGACUGGUUUGCUGAACUUGAAUCACUUGGUUGUGCAAUCAUGAUGCUGGUUAGAAAAUUUCUUCAUUACUUUUUUAUAAUUUUGCAUCGUUCAGGUUCUAAUUUCAUUUACUGCGUCAUUAAGAUAUUUAUACAAAAUAAAUAAUACUUAACGCUGCCAUCCUAGAGCUUUAGUUUUCUAACUUCAUGUUCUUAGGCGAGACAUAAUUGUCAUCUUAUUCCAGUCCUGUAUAUGCCUUAUCCUUAGAGAAAAUAAUUUUGAAUUGUUUUGCUUACCAUAUCUCUCUCACACAUUUAUGUCUUAUACUUUCAUGGAUUUUUGGCAUUCUCAAUAUACAAGUAUAGCUGUCGAAUCCCUCGCUCAGAAGUGUAAUAAGGUCCCCUUCAAGUAUCAUAUCAUGCGCUGAUGAAUUUUUUUAUUUUGCAUUUAUACACUAAUAUUAUUAAGUUCGUUCUUUUUCUUUUUUUGGUCAAAAGGUAUUCUAAUUUAUGAACAGUGGAUCUUCUGGUGCUCUUGAUGUUAAUGUUGCCCUGAUGGAAAUGUAACAUCCUGAGUUAUGAAAGUUAUGUACUCCUCCCAACUGCAACAACUAAAAAAUUUUCUUCAGCAUUGGAACAAACUGCAUGUCGAAAAGCAUCCACACGGUUCAAGGUAUAAAAGGAACUAAAGGAGAUGGUAUGCACAAUUAGAAUGCAUCUGUUGUUAUGUUUAUAAUAGAGUUUCCACAAGAUUUCUGGGCAUGGCAUCAGCAGCCUUAUAUGAACUUGUCUUCAAAAGUUCUUCCGCAGUCUGCUCAGCGAGUGGAAGUAGGAGUUGGAUGCUAUGGUAGAGCUGGAUGCUAUGGUAAAGUUCUUAAAAAAUCGAUGGUGCCCACAUUCUCUCUUUCUCUGGCAACACAAAACCUUGACGGGGGUGGUGCAUGGCCUGACUGACGAAGAGAUGAAGCAAUUCUACGUGGAGUGGAUUGGAGUGGAUUCGAUGGUAGUGAUAACCACUUUUAUUUUGAAUUUGAGCUAACUAUACUGAAAAAGGGAUUGCCUUUAUGUUUUGUUCAAUAUUGAUGUAUUUGAGCAAACUAUAACUAGAAUAAUGUGAGUCCACAUAACACUUGGCGUAGUUUCUUUGAAGGAUGCUUCUGGUGAUAUUGGUGAUACUGGUUCUAGGUAUGGUUAUAUCAUAUACAUUGGGUAAUCAAAAACAUAUUUCCAAGUGUUUUCUACAAUCAA